UUUGAUUCUUAGCCCAGCUAGAAGGGCCUUGAAGGGCAAAGUAAGUUCUUCGUCCCCAACCACCGCUAUAGACUGAAUGCUUGAUCUUCCCCAAAUUCCUAUAUGGAAACCUUACUCUCCAAUGUGAUGACAUUUGAAGGUGGAACCUCUGAGAGGACAACCGAGGAGGAAGUACCUGGCUGCAAGCUUCUGUCUGUCAUCUGGUUCCAAUGUUACUAAGGAACAAUUAAGAAAACCCCCGGAUGGAGAUGGGGCUGCGUGAUCUCCUGCAUUGUCUUCUUCACAUCAGUAUCUUCCCAGAAGAAAAUGAAAAGAAAAAAGAUCAGCGUACAGACUGGGGCAGUUUUAGAAGGCCGAUAAAUGAUGCUUUUCUUCCUUGCCUGAGUUUGGAACCGAUUAAGAAGUAGAUAUGAGACAGACAGCUGGAGAUCAAAAUACUCGCUUUGUGAGUGGGAAAAGCUGGACUGGGGAACGGAGACUACAUUAGCCCUGUGUCCCGGUGGGCUUCGUGGUGCUGCAGUUCUGAAUGAGACAGACAUACCCACCAGCCAGAGGAAGAGCUGGACCGCUGUCAAGCCCUGCUUGCAUGAGGGACGGCCUGAGAGCCAGACUGAGAUCUGCUGUGGAUGCAAGAGCGUGAGCCGAUCCAAUGUGGCCACCACCAGGAUAAACUCACUUUUGCUGUAGACUGCUAGACGGCUGUGGUCAGCUCACCAUAAAGAGAGAUCAUGCCACAAGUUGACUCCACAUGUUCUAACCACUGAACAAUUCUGGCUUCCACAAACACAGAUAGAAAUUAAUACCAAUAUAGUUGGCAUUAAAGCAGGUUAGCCC